rnacentral:rRNA from 1 species
UAGGGAAUCUUCGGCAAUGGGGGGAACCCUGACCGAGCAACGCCGCGUGAGUGAAGAAGGUUUUCGGAUCGUAAAGCUCUGUUGUUAAGGAAGAACGAGUGUGAGAAUGGAAAGUUCAUACUGUGACGGUACUUAACCAGAAAGGGACGGCUAACUACGUGCCAGCAGCCGCGGUAAUACGUAGGUCCCGAGCGUUGUCCGGAUUUAUUGGGCGUAAAGCGAGCGCAGGCGGUUAGAUAAGUCUGAAGUUAAAGGCAGUGGCUCAACCAUUGUAGGCUUUGGAAACUGUUUAACUUGAGUGCAGAAGGGGAGAGUGGAAUUCCAUGUGUAGCGGUGAAAUGCGUAGAUAUAUGGAGGAACACCGGUGGCGAAAAGCGGCUCUCUGGUCUGUAACUGACGCUGAGGCUCGAAAGCGUGGGGAGCGAACAGGAUUAGAUACCCUGGUAGUCCACGCCGUAAACGAUGAGUGCUAGGUGUUAGGUCCUUUCCGGGACUUAGUGCCGCAGCUAACGCAUUAAGCACUCCGCCUGGGGAGUACGACCGCAAGGUUGAAACUC